UCGUCUAGAGGCCUAGGACAUCGCCCUUUCACGGCGGUAACCGGGGUUCGAAUCCCCGUCGCCA
rnacentral:tRNA from 1 species